UCCCAGGUGGUCUAGUGGUUAGGAUUCAGCACUUUCACUGCCAUGGCCCAGGUUCAAUCCCUGGUCAGGGAA